CCGCACUAGUCGGGGAGCCGGCGGUGCCCUGUCACCUGCAACCCGCCUCAGCAGGGAUGAAUCCCCGCCGGCGGGGCCGCGAUGUGUCGUCAGCCCCGGGUGUGCAGCGAUGAGGAGCCGGUCUUGCGCAACGGGAACCCGUGAACCAUGUCAGGCGGGGAACCGAGCAGCAUUAAACGGCGCCUCCCGUGUGCCGCAAGGGCGCCGUCUCCGAGCCGGCGGCCCGGGUAACGGACGGAUCGCGCGCCUCAACGGCGGGUGUGCGG
rnacentral:SRP_RNA from 1 species